GACGAUCCCUAGCUGGUCUGAGAGGAUGACCAGCCACACUGGAACUGAGACACGGUCCAGACUCCUACGGGAGGCAGCAGUGGGGAAUAUUGCACAAUGGGCGCAAGCCUGAUGCAGCCAUGCCGCGUGUAUGAAGAAGGCCUUCGGGUUGUAAAGUACUUUCAGCGGGGAGGAAGGGAGUAAAGUUAAUACCUUUGCUCAUUGACGUUACCCGCAGAAGAAGCACCGGCUAACUCCGUGCCAGCAGCCGCGGUAAUACGGAGGGUGCAAGCGUUAAUCGGAAUUACUGGGCGUAAAGCGCACGCAGGCGGUUUGUUAAGUCAGAUGUGAAAUCCCCGGGCUCAACCUGGGAACUGCAUCUGAUACUGGCAAGCUUGAGUCUCGUAGAGGGGGGUAGAAUUCCAGGUGUAGCGGUGAAAU
rnacentral:rRNA from 1 species